rnacentral:rRNA from 1 species
CAGCCGCCACGGUAACACGAAGGGGGCUAGCGUUGUUCGGAUUUACUGGGCGUAAAGGGCGCGUAGGCGGACUGAUAAGUCAGGGGUGAAAUCCCAAGGCUCAACCUUGGAACUGCCUUUGAUACUGUUUGUCUUGAGUUCGAGAGAGGUAAGUGGAACUGCGAGUGUAGAGGUGAAAUUCGUAGAUAUUCGCAAGAACACCAGUGGCGAAGGCGGCUUACUGGCUCGAAACUGACGCUGAGGCGCGAAAGCGUGGGGAGCAAACAGGAUUAGAUACCCCCGUAGUCCCUGUCUCUUAUAC